CAAACGACAGCGUUGGAGGGGAUAUGAAGAAUAUACACGUAGGACGACAACGAAUCGACUGACUCGAGGGAAUGAAGAACGAAUCAACACCGGCGCGCACCCCGGGCUACGAAAAUCCCGAAGUUUUUCCGGAUCCUCUUUCGUUGUCCGGGAAAACUAAUUUCAUAACCGAGAAGAGCGAACGAAGAGGUCCGACGGAAUUUUCACGAGCCGAGGAUUCCGCGAGGAUUUUCUUAAAACUGUUCUUCUGACAAAUUGCGCCCCCGUAGAUCUCGGAACAACCUAUAAUACCACGGUAGAUAAAGUGAACCCUUCCUCUCGAACAGCGUGGAGAGGCAACGCACCCUGCACCGUCACCACCAUCGCCAGCGCCAUCAGAUUCUACAGUCGGCUUUAAAGUUUAUUUUAAGGUUGGAACACUGAAAAGGGGCAAGAUGAAAAACAGGAUGCUUACAAGCCGAGUGGGAGUAAUCCUGCUCGGCAAUUACCCCGUGGAAAGAACCGACGACGAGAAAAAAUUUCGAGAAGACGAAAAAAAAGGAAGGAAUUACAUUUGUCCGCAGUCCAAGUCUGCGAAACUAUUCAAACGAAUUGAAAUAAAUUAAUAUUCAU